GAGAUUUCGCAAUGCCCGAAAGGGUGACGAUGCGACGCCGCGUGGAGGAUAAAGGCCUUCGGGUUGUAAACUCCUGUCAGGGCAAAAGAAGGGGAGGGGAGGAAACUCCCUGACCUUGACUCAGCCCAAAGGAAGCCCCGGCUAACUCCGUGCCAGCAGCAGCGGUAAGACGGAGAGGGCGAGCGUUGUUCGGAAUUACUGGGCGUAAAGAGCGCGUAGGCGGGUCCGUAUGUCAGGGGUGAAAGCCCCCGGCCCAACCGGGGAAUUGCCUCUGAAACUGCGGUCCUCGAGUGGAGCAGGGGGGAGUGGAACUCUCGGUGGAGCGGUGAAAUGCGUUGAUAUCGAGGGGAACGUCGGCGGCGAAGGCGACUCCCUAUGCUUCUACUGACGCUGAGGUGCGAAAGCCAGGGGAGCGAACGGGAUUAGAUACCCCGGUAGUCCUGGCCUUAAACGGUGGGCACUAAGUAGAGGGGUUUUA
rnacentral:rRNA from 1 species